rnacentral:rRNA from 1 species
UACGAAGGGGGCUAGCGUUAUUCGGAAUUACUGGGCGUAAAGCGCACGUAGGCGGCCUUGUAAGUUAGGGGUGAAAGCCCGGUGCUCAACACCGGAAUUGCCUUUAAGACUGCAUCGCUUGAAUCCAGGAGAGGUGAGUGGAAUUCCGAGUGUAGAGGUGAAAUUCGUAGAUAUUCGGAAGAACACCAGUGGCGAAGGCGGCUCACUGGACUGGUAUUGACGCUGAGGUGGCGAAAAGCGUGGGGAGCAAACAGG